rnacentral:rRNA from 1 species
UACGUAGGUGACCAGCGUUGUCCGGAUUUACUGGGCGUAAAGAGCGCGCAGGCGGUCGUUCAAGUCGAGUGUGAAAGCCCCCGGCUCAACUGGGGAGGGUCAUUCGAUACUGAUCGACUGGAAGGCAGGAGAGGGAAGCGGAAUUCCCGGUGUAGUGGUGAAAUGCGUAGAUAUCGAGAGGAACACCUGCGGCGAAGGCGGUGAGCUGGGCCGACACUGACGCUGAGGCGCGAAAGCGUGGGGAGCGAACAGG